rnacentral:rRNA from 1 species
UUCCGGUUGAUCCUGCCGGACCUGACUGCUAUCGGAUUGAUACUAAGCCAUGCUAGUCUUUGUAGUAAUACAAGGCAUACGGCUCAGUAACGCGUAGUCAACCUACCCUAUGGACGGGGAUAAUCUCGGGAAACUGAGCAUAAUACCCGGUAGACCACUUCUCCUGGAAUGGUUAGUGGUUAAAAUGAUUCGUCGCCAUAGGAUGGGACUGCGGCCUAUCAGCUUGUUGGUGAGGUAAUGGCCCACCAAGGCGAUUACAGGUACGGGCUCUGAGAGGAGAGGCCCGGAGAUGGGUACUGAGACAAGGACCCAGGCCCUAUGGGGCGCAGCAGGCGAGAAAACUUUGCAAUGUGCGAAAGCACGACAAGGUUAAUCCGAGUGAUUUCUGCUAAAGGAAUCUUUUGCUAGUUCUAAAAAUACUAGUGAAUAAGGGGUGGGCAAGUUCUGGUGUCAGCCGCCGCGGUAAAACCAGCACCUCAAGUGGUCAGGAGGAUUAUUGGGCCUAAAGCAUCCGUAGCCUGUUCUAUAAGUUUGCGGUUAAAUCUAUGCGCUCAACGUAUAGGCUGCCGUAAAUACUGUAGAACUAGGGAGUGGGAGAGGUAGACGGUACUCGGUAGGAAGGGGUAAAAUCCUUUGAUCUAUCGAUGACCACCUGUGGCGAAGGCGGUCUACCAGAACACGUUCGACGGUGAGGGAUGAAAGCUGGGGGAGCAAACCGGAUUAGAUACCCGGGUAGUCCCAGCUGUAAACGAUGCAGACUCGAUGAUGCAAUGGCAUAGAGCUAUUGCAGUAUCGCAGGGAAGCCGUUAAGUCUGCCGCCUGGGAAGUACGUACGCAAGUAUGAAACUUAAAGGAAUUGGCGGGGGAGCACCACAAGGGGUGAAGCCUGCGGUUCAAUUGGAGUCAACGCCGGG